GUGGGCCAGCCCAUGCUCUGGCCAACUCAGAGGAGAUAUGGCAGAAUAUAAGUGUUGUGUUCUAUCGCUGUCUGGAGGGAUUCCACAGCUGGAGAGGAAGGAACACCUCUGUGUGUGACAUCACCGGGACGUGGCAGGCUGCUACACUGCAAUGCCGAGAAAUCAAGCCUGCCAUCAGCGACUUGGUUGUUUUAAUGAAACAUUUUUGCGUUGGAAAGCAGACAAGUAUGAAGAAGACACAGAAAAUUACAGAGUAGCAUUUGUGGGAUUCAGGGACUAUCAAAGGUCAUUCCAUGACAAGAGGAAAGCUCGUCAGCUCCACUUCAGACCACCCUGAUAUCUGCCUGCACCUGCUGCCUGUUACCACCUAUACCAUCAGCAUCACUGCACUGUGCAGGUUCACGUCCACGGUCACAGCUAAAACCAGCCUACAAGAGCCUCGAGCCAAAUAAAUUUUUACAGAGAAGCUGAGGCUUGCCCACUUAGGCUACACAGAUUAACUAACACUCUGGACCCAAUUAGUUUCUACCAGGUGCCACUGGAGGGGACCCGUGUGUUUGACUGCAGCUCUCCUAAGAACCCAGACGCCUCCAGUCAGAGGAAGUCCCAUGGACAGUCCAUCACUUCCCAGGUCCAGCUGAGGGAUGUUGGGAAAGAGAUUACCCUAACUGUGACCGAUGGAUGCUGCUAUUGUGUCUUCUACAAUGCUCCAUUACAGAAUGGCAGAGACUAUUACAUCAUAUUACGAGCUGUUAGUCAAUGGGGAGGGGAUUUCAAGCACACUUGUGAUAUCUGGGCAAAAGUGAGAGGUACAUCCAACAUAAUGCAGGUUUCAUCACUUUUUGCUGGAGGAUCAAUUGGAGUCUUUGCUUUGGUCAUUUGUCUGGGAGACUGUUACACCUGGUUUUGUAAGAAGACAUGACAGUCAUCUUGAUAACUGACUUUUUCAUUUGGGUCAAACUUGGUAAUAUCAGCAUAAUGUUCAAUGACAUCUACCUGUAAUAUUGUAACUGUGUAAAAAAACGUUUAGUAUUAUUAUUUGUGAUAAAAUACAAGUGAACAUGAUUUUAGAAUGAAAUAAAUGCAAUACAAGUACUAUGUUAUAAUAUAUGAUAUGACUGAAGUUGAACAUAGGCCUAUUAGGUUUCUAUUAUACACAAAAUUACAAUAUUUCAUGAAGGAAAAAUAAAUAUUCUGUGAGCAAA